UACAGAGGGUGCGAGCGUUGUUCGGAAUUACUGGGCGUAAAGCGCGCGCAGGCGGCCUUUUAAGUCUGACGGUGAAAUGCCGGGGCUCAACCCCGUGCCCGCCGGAGAUACUGGGAGGCUGGAGACGAGUAGAGGCAAGCGGAAUUCCGGGUGUAGCGGUGGAAUGCGUAGAGAUCCGGAAGAACACCGGAGGCGAAGGCGGCUUGCUGGGCUCGGUCUGACGCUGAGGCGCGAAAGCUAGGGUAGCAAACGGG
rnacentral:rRNA from 1 species